rnacentral:rRNA from 1 species
GUGGGGAAUAUUGCGCAAUGGGGGAAACCCUGACGCAGCAAUACCGCGUGAGUGAAGAAGGUUUUCGGAUCGUAAAACUCUUUUAUUGGGGAAGAAGAAGUGACGGUACCCAAUGAAGAAGUCCCGGCUAACUACGUGCCAGCAGCCGCGGUAAUACGUAGGGGACAAGCGUUGUCCGGAAUCACUGGGCGUAAAGGGCGCGUAGGCGGUUUUAUAAGUCAGAUGUGAAAGGUACCGGCUCAAACGGUGACGUGCAUUUGAAACUGUAAGACUUGAGUACUGGAGAGGCUAGUGGAAUUCCUAGUGUAGCGGUGAAAUGCGUAGAUAUUAGGAGGAACACCGGUGGCGAAGGCGGCUUGCUGGACAGAUACUGACGCUGAGGUGCGAAAGCGUGGGGAGCGAACAGGAUUAGAAACCCUGGUAGUCC